rnacentral:rRNA from 1 species
AUAGAAACCACCAACAUUAAAACUCUUGCACUACACUGAUGUAUUUAACGAGUCUAUAGCCUUCACUGGCAGGUCCGAGUAAUCUUUGAAAUUUCAUCGUGAUGGGGAUAAAUCAUUGUGAUUAUUGGUCUUCAACGAAGAACUCCUAGUAAGCACGAGUUAUUAGCUCGCGUCGACUAUGUCCAUGCCCUUUGUA